rnacentral:piRNA from 1 species
UGGCAGACAGCGUGUUCUAUCUUGA